CGGGACCUACCCAGACGUGGGGGAUAACGUAGGGAAACUUACGCUAAUACCGCAUACGUCCUACGGGAGAAAGCGGGGGAUCGCAAGACCUCGCGCGGUUGGAUGGACCGAUGUGCGAUUAGCUAGUUGGUAAGGUAACGGCUUACCAAGGCGACGAUCGCUAGCUGGUCUGAGAGGAUGAUCAGCCACACUGGGACUGAGACACGGCCCAGACUCCUACGGGAGGCAGCAGUGGGGAAUAUUGGACAAUGGGCGCAGGCCUGAUCCAGCAAUGCCGCGUGUGUGAA
rnacentral:rRNA from 1 species